CCUACGGGAGACAGCAGUGAGGAAUAUUGGUCAAUGGACGCAAGUCUGAACCAGCCAUGCCGCGUGCAGGAAGACGGCUCUAUGGGUUGUAAACUGCUUUUGUACGAGGGUAAACUCAGAUACGCGUAUCUUUCUGUAAGUAUCUUACGAAUAAGGAUUGGCUAACUCCGUGCCAGCAGCCGCGGUAAUACGGAGGAUUCAAGCGUUAUCCGGAUUUAUUGGGUUUAAAGGGUGCGUAGGCGGUCGGAUAAGUUAGUUGUGAAAUCCCGAGGCUCAACUUCGGAAUUGCCUCUGAUACUGGUAGGCUAGAGAGCAGUUGCGGUAGGCGGAAUGUAUGGUGUAGCGGUGAAAUGCUUAGAGAUCAUACAGAACACCGAUUGCGAAGGCAGCUUACCAAGCUACUUCUGACGUUGAGGCACGAAAGCGUGGGGAGCAAACAGGAUUAGAUACCCUAGUAGUC
rnacentral:rRNA from 1 species